GACAAGGGAGACGAGUGUUAUUCAUCUUUAACAGGUAUAUAGGGUACCUAGACGGUGUACAAAGGCUUGUAUUAGUACCUGUUACACUAGAGUUUAAUAUGUGAGAGGAAAAUUUCAGAAUUGUUGGUGUAUGGGAUGAAAUCUUUUGAUACUGAUAAGACUGAUAACGGCGAAGGCAAACCUCUAUGUAUAAGUAUGUACUUUUAUAUGAAUUUUAGAUUUAUUAAAGAAAGAAAUUAAGGUCAGAAAUAGAAAAUAAGAGAAUAAAAAAAGACCAGAUAUAGAAAAAGAAACAUAACAAUACUGACGUUGAGGGACGAAGGCUCAGGGAGUGAAGAGG
rnacentral:rRNA from 1 species